UACGUAGGGGGCAAGCGUUGUCCGGAUUUAUUGGGCGUAAAGAGCGUGUAGGCGGCCAGGUAGGUCCGUUGUGAAAACUGGAGGCUUAACCUUCAGACGUCGAUGGAAACCAUCUGGCUAGAGUCCGGAAGAGGAGAAUGGAAUUCCUGGUGUAGCGGUGAAAUGCGCAGAUAUCAGGAAGAACACCCGUGGCGAAGGCGGUUCUCUGGGACGGUACUGACGCUGAGACGCGAAAGCGUGGGGAGCGAACAGG
rnacentral:misc_RNA from 1 species